GGAAAGAGCUUUUCAAUGGCUGAUGUGAUUGUUUAUCCAAGCGUUGCUCUUCUCUUCCGCAUGGGGCUAAGUGAGAAACGUUACCCCAAACUGUCAGAAUACCAUAAAAAUCUGAAGGACAGACCCAGCAUCAAAGCCACCUGGCCUCCACUUUGGAAGGACACCCCUGGACAGGACUUUUUAAAAGACAUCUGAGAUUGACAGGCUCAUCAGCUGACAAGCCAAUCUUUCCUUGUUGUGUUUUUAAUUUGUUACUAUUCCGUGUAUUUCAGUACAAUAUGAUGAAUAUUUUUUUUUAACAUAUACUUUUCAAAGACUUUUUUACAUGUCCACUUAGGUGGACAACUGAUGUGUAUGGAGUGACACAUCAGUGUCCAAUGUAGUGGUUUAUUUGCAAGUAUACCAUCAACACUGACACAAAUACAAAAAAAAGCCUUUGAAUAGCUGUCCACUGCAGUGACCACUAUGUGUGAGAGGGUUAAAUCCAUCCUGCAUCUGUGCAGUUUUGACAGGAAAGGCGACUAAAUCAAAACUUUAACGCUUUACUUGAUUGUUGUCAUUCUUCUCUUUGAAACUGAGCUUUCCUAUCUUGGUAGCAACACUUGAGCAAUCACUGCAUGGAUUUGUAAAGACAUCAAAGUCACAUUAAAUGAAACACUGAUCUGUUCUACAAAAUCCAGGGGACAAAAAACAAACAAACAAAACACCAAAAAACAAAGAUCUGGUAUAUGUUGUUCUUCAAAAAAAACAACCUGCUACCCACAGUCCAACUCACAAAUUAUAAAGAAGUUCUACAAACACUAGAAUUAUAUUCAGCAUCACAAACAAGUGUGUGUGUGUUUAUUUCUUUUUAAUUCCUAAUGGGAUAGCUAGUUUAAGUCCCAGGAGAACAAAUGUAUCACGGGAUUUGAAAGAGAAAUGAAAAAGAAACAGAGAUAACAUAACAUAGGAAACACAAACAAAGCAUAGAGAGACAGAAAAAACAGAGACUACGGAAGGGAAGACAAAAUGUAUUGACAGAAUUUUUGAGUUCCCAGUUGGAAUUUUUAUCUGGAACUCCCCCUUAACCUGGAUUUUCCAUUUGGAAAGUUUGAGCAACUGCUCCACCAGGAGGUUAACAAUCCAUAAUGCUGGCAGUGGAUGUUAUAAAACAGCAGUACAACUAUAACUUGCUGAAUAAGCCAUAUGCCGAGUCCACAGACGUGCUGCAGCGAAGCACAAACAACAAAUGUUAUGCUGUAUUGCUUGUGAUACUCAAAUAGCUCUACCUGCCAGAGAAGCAAAAAUAAAUCCUGUUUUUCCUUCUUUUUCCAA